rnacentral:lncRNA from 1 species
GUCAAGUCCAUAAAUCUAUGGGAACUAUUUGCAAUAUUUUCUUUUUAUAAAAUCACCUAAAAAUAAUUCUAAGGAAAUAUGUGAAUAAAAUGAGGAAAAAAUAAGAUUGACCCAGAUUUCACGUAAUCUAUAUUCCUGAACAAAAUAGAAUCAUAGGAUAUCUGAGCUGAAGGUCCUUAGAGAUUCGAAACAAUCUCCUUAAUUGUAUGCAUCAGGAAAUGGGAGCCCUGAGAACUUGGAUGGAGGUGGGGAUGGCCCUGCAACUGGAACCCUGUUUCCUGACUUUCCAUCUAGUGUAAUUUCCACAGUAUCAUACAGCAGCCUCUUCUCUUAAUGCCAAGUUCUCAUACCUUAGGCAGCUCCUCCUAUAGUAUUUACCCAGUCUUCUCACUUGUAGCUGAAACUCAGAUGACUUUUUCCCCUGAAAUACAUGAUCUACUUCCUCCAACCCAAUUUCUCCCUUUUCCCUCCCCAGCAUGAAGCAGGAAGAAACAUCUGCCAUAUCAAGCAUACCUAUGAUUCCACACCCUCAAAUGGCUCCUGAGUUGGUCAAUCUUCUAUAAACAGAAGUCUAGGCAAAGAGUGGGAUUCCUGAGUAAUUGCUUUCCGGUCACCUCUGAUCUGACAAAUCCAUGAUGUAUCCUAUCACAGAGAAGUCAGACGCAGAAGCCUCCCUCCAUCCUAGUUUCCUAUGCAGAGUAAUCAUAAGCUGUCAAAUUUGGAAGGGGCUCAUGGAUUCUUCAUGUUACAGAAGAGGAAUCUGGGGCCCAGAGUCACACAGCUGGUUGGUGCAUAGCCUGAACUAGAACUAUGCGUCUCAGUUUCCCAUUCAACACUUACUUUAAAGAUCAUGAAAUCCAUUGACUCUUCCACCUGGUGCUCACCAAAAUCCAGC